ensembl:snoRNA Y6B3B.15 ncRNA
UCCGAGAACGGUAGCAGGCUUAGAAGAGGUGUCUAGAUUCCACAGGGUACUGUGGAAAAAGUGAACGAACAGGGUCGGCAGGGGAGCUGAACGAGAAUAGAAAAUCUUUUUUU